rnacentral:rRNA from 1 species
GAUGAACGCUGGCGGCGUGCCUAACACAUGCAAGUCGAGCGAACGGACGAGAAGCUUGCUUUUCUGAUGUUAGCGGCGGACGGGAGAGUAACACGGGGAUAACCUACCUAUAAGACUGGGAUAACUUCGGGAAACCGGAGCUAAUACCGGAUAAUAUUUUGAACCGCAUGGUUCAAAAGUUAAAGACGGUCUUGCUGUCACUUAUAGAUGGAUCCGCGCUGCAUUAGCUAGUUGGUAAGGUGACGGCUUACCAAGGCAACGAUGCAUAGCCGACCUGAGAGGGUGAUAGGCCACCCUGGAAGAGAGAAACGGUCCAGACUCUGACGGGGGGACGCAGUAGAGAAUCCUCCGGGAUGGGCGAGAGCCGAACGGAGCAAAGCCGGCUGAGUGAUGAAGGUCUUCGGAUCGUAAAACUCUGUUAUUAGGGAAGAACAUAUGUGUAAGUAACUGUGAACAUCUUGACGGUACCUGAUCAGAAAGCCACGGCUAACUCCGUG